rnacentral:rRNA from 1 species
AGCUCCAAUAGCGUAUAUUAAAGUUGUUGCAGUUAAAAGCUCGUAGUUGGAUUUCUGGCGGGAGUGAUCAGUCCAGCUCUAUGAGUUGGUACUUGAAUCGUCUCCCACCAUCUUUCAGGAAAACCUUUCUGGCAUUAAGUUGUCGGGUAGGGGAUCCUGAUCCUUUACUGUGAAAAAUUAGAGUGUUCAAAGCAGGCUUAUGCCGUUGAAUAUAUUAGCAUGGAAUAAUAAGAUAGGACUAUGGUACUAUUUUGUUGGUUUGUGCACCAUGGUAAUGAUUAAUAGGGACAGUUGGGGGUAUUCGUAUUCCAUUGUCAGAGGUGAAAUUCUUGGAUUUAUGGAAGACGAACUACUGCGAAAGCAUUUACCAAGGAUGUUUUCA